AGAGUCUGUGUGGUUUGACUCUGCACCUACUUGGCCCCCGCCCCCAAAGGGAAUAACAGCAAGGACCCUGCUACAGUACAAUACCUUGAACAAGAUUAGAAAUACUGGCUUUCGUCACUAGGAAAAUGGAGUGAAAGUGACCAAUGAGAGAGGUCAGGCUGUCCAGCAUGACCAAGAGGUGGUGAAUGCACACAAGGUCCAAGAAAAGGCAUGCUUCCACACAAAGGCAUGCUCCAAACUGCCUUGAUAUUUGCAAGCCUUCAAACCGCCUUGGCCACAGAAUGAAGUCCUGACCUUCCACUCUGGCUGGUCUCCCCCAGCUCCUGUCUUCCCUGUGACGCUAUCUUGACCUGAAAGGACUCCGGCCAGCUCUCUCCAGUUGUUUCUCUACAGAUUGGAAGUGCUUCAUCCUUUGCAGAGACUGAAGAUUCUCUGGGGAGGGAGAGGUGGCAGGGAGUGUUUGUUAUGUGUUGGAAGAAGUCAAGACUUCUGGUCUCUGAAGGCCCAUUGAGGUCCUUUUAUAGUCCCAGAUGCCCAGUAAAACUUUUCUGGGCUGGGUUUCUGAAGAGGCCCAUGGGAAUGGCUUGUAGGAGGGCAUGGCAUAGAUAAGGGACAGAUAAUCACUUGAAAACACCCUGUGUCUUGCCCCAAAACCUCCUGUGGGGUUCACAUUGAAGUUCCAGUCAGCAGAAGCACCCCUACUGUCACACUCUGGGUACCUCACAGAAGCACCAGCCCAGGUAACAAGGAGCCAGGAGGCAGAGGAUUAAAACGGCACAACAGCAGCAAUUUUUGUAGACUGCCUAGCAUGGUGUUGGGGUGUAGGGCUAGAAACAAGAGUCUUAGAGCUGCCUGGGUUGUUUGCCCAGAGUGCCUUGUCAUUCAGCCUCCCAGAUGCCCACUUUAAGUACUAUGUUAAAGGCCUUCAAUAAGUGCUCAUACUGAUCCACAAAGAAAAUGUGGAUGUGUCUGGAAAGAGAAAGAGAGAGAGACAGAGAAAGGGAGGGAAAGACAGAGAUAGAGACAGAGAUACUGAUUUACUGGCAUAUUGUGGGUAAAAGCUAAGAUGCUGUUAUACCACAUACAGUGCACAAGACGUCAUCAACUGUAAGAAAGUAUCAGUCUUUGCUUAUAGACCAAUGCUGAGGUUGAGGAUCCCUGCUACUGUUAUCUGGCUUCCGCAGUUGUGCCCUGCUUUAUUGACACUAGACCAUACAAAUGAUUCCAGUAUUCCCAAAUACAACGAUGUCCCAGAGUU